rnacentral:rRNA from 1 species
GACGAACGCUGGCGGCGUGCUUAACACAUGCAAGUCGAACGGAAAGGCCCUGCUUUUAUGGUACUCGAGUGGCGAGCGGGGGAGUGACACACGGGUGAACUGCCCUCCUCUUCGGGAGAUACCUCGGAGACAGUGGGUAACACCGGAGAGAAGCCAUUUUGAUGCUGAUGGUUGGAAAGUGAGUUCGGUGUAUGAUGACCCGGCGGCCUAUCAGCUUGUUGGUUGGGUAAUGGCAUACCAAGGCGGCGACGGGUAGCCGGCCUGAGAGGGUGGACGGCCACAUUGGGACUGAGAUACGGCCCAGACUCCUACGGGAGGCAGCAGUGGGGAAUAUUGCACAAUGGGCGCAAGCCUGAUGCAGCGACGCCGCGUGCGGGAUGACGGCCUUCGGGUUGUAAACUCCUUUCGCUAGGGACGAAGCUUUUGUGACGGUACCUAGUAAAGAAGCACCGGCUAACUACGUG